rnacentral:rRNA from 1 species
GCAUCGAUGAAGAACGCAGCGAAUCGCGAUAAGUAAUGUGAAUUGCAGAUUUUCCGUGAAUCAUCGAAUCUUUGAACGCACCUUGCGCUCCUCGGUGUUCCGAGGAGCAUGCCUGUUUGAGUGUCAGUAAAU